CUCCCAAACACUCCCUCUUCUUCUACCAGUUACACUCCAGGUAAGGAGAUCUAAAUCGUGAAUACGAAUCAUUCAAACUUUCUAAAACGUUAUUUACAACUACAACCAACAGGAGGCUUGAUGUACAACUACAAGUUACCUCAGAGCAACCUACAACACGUAACGGCCAUAACAUUCUUGCUCACAACCUACGCCAAGUACAUGAAAGCCACACAACACACGUUCAACUGCGGAAACUCUGUUAACAUUGUCCCCGAUACCUUGAUAAGCUUAUCGAAGCAACAAGUGGAUUAUAUACUCGGCGAGAAUCCGGCCAAGAUGUCGUAUAUGGUUGGAUACGGAACUAGUUUCCCCAUGAGAAUCCACCACAGAGGAUCAUCUAUUCCUUCACAACCACACUUCAGCUGCGCAGAUGGACUCCAAUUUUUAAAUACUUCAAACCCUAACCCUAACAUUCUCACGGGUGCAAUCGUAGGAGGUCCAAAUGAGAAGGAUGCGUAUGCAGAUAACAGAGAAGAUUUCAUUCAAUCGGAGCCUACUACUUACAUCAACGCCCCCUUCGUCGGACCUUUGGCGUACUUCGCCUCCGGUGGAUCGGCUUGAAACCGUCGGUCGAAGCCGAACGUGACAAUAUCCAAUUGAACAAGUAAUUUAAAUGUGUAACUUUUUAAUAGGCUAAGGUCCAAUAUUAUUGGACCUGGUAUAAUUAUGUUAAUCGUGUUUGUAAGAGACUUCAUUUUAAUAAACCAAUCUUCCGGUUGAGACUAGAAACCAUUUAUUUUUUUGAAUGUCGGUAUUCAGAGGAAAUCUCGAGUCCAAACGCAACCCCCAUGCUUCCAUUCCAUUCCCCAUGGUUCCCGCAGCUCCUAUGCAUCUCAUUCCCUAGCUUGCAGUUUGCUGAAUGAACUGCCGCCAGUUCAAAAUAACAAGUUUCCAACCAAGUUGAAGAUAACAAACUGGCUAAUAGCCAUUGAUCUGAUCAGGGUAAACAUUACAUACAUGUUGUAGCAGAAAGUGCUGCUGCAUGUUAGUAGUACCACGCAAGAACCCAACCAAAAGCUCUACUCAAACUUUCUGAAUUCAUGUUCCCAAACAAAAACACUUUAGCUUUAAACUAAAAAAUCGUUUGAACAUGUAUUACAAGGACCAAGGACAAAACCUUGUUCGAGAUCACGUUACGAUACUCAGAGAGCAUCCAUCAUUCAUCGUAUCUUAUCAAUAUUCAGCAAGUUUUCAAGUUUGAUAUUGUUUUUCAAUUAGAGUAAUGAUCCUUGCAAUUUCUCAAACCGGCUUAACCUCGCAGGGGAUAAGAUCAACCCAGAUUUCAGUCUCAUCAAACCUCUUUGGAUCCAAAUAUUUAGAGUAGUCAUAUACAAAGAAGGUUAAAAAUUGCGAACUUUUGGUGAACAGAGAGAUCAGUCAAGUGAGAAGAGGAAAACAAUGUGUGGGCCCUCUAUUUCACACACUAUUUUCCUCUAUCACUUUUGAGUUUUGACUGAAAGGUAAAAAUAAUGUAUAUAUAUAUAUAUAUAUAUAUUAUUCUCAUACUUAUAUUUCUUAUAAAAAAGUAUAUAUCCGUAUAUACCCCGUUUAGGCGUCCGUCUACACGGCUAGACGGGUAAUGAAUGCGCGUUUUAGAACACUACGUGUGGGAGAAGGAAGACUCUGAAUAGGUUGUAGUACAAGUGAAACACAUCUAGUAAGUUAUGAUAUAAGAUAAGCAAGACUUUCCACAAGGCUACCGCAAGUUAAGAUCACACCUAUAUUUUAUAGUUAUUCAACAUACAUCGUAACCUUACGGGCAGGGAUAGAUAGUAUCAUUGACGUGUGGGAGAAGGAAGACUCUAAAUAGGUUAUAGUACAAGUGAAACACAUCUAGUAAGUUAUGAUAUAAGAUAAGAAAGACAUUCCACAAGGCUACCGCAAGUUAAGAUAUGCGGAGAAAGUUCCUUUUUCAAACUAAGAUAUGCAAAAACAUUAAAUAGGCAAGUUUGGGAAAUUCAGUACAAAAACGAACAAGACUUUGGAAAACAUAUUCCUCACAAAUGCUUCUUAGAGAGAUUGCAAGAGAUGCGCUUAACGAGCACUUGUAGCGACUCUGAGUUUUCUUUGACCAAACUUCAAUUCCCACGGACUAGAUCUUGAUUGUGCGAAGCGGAGAUAUCUCUGAUCAUAAGUCCUCAUAACACGCCAGGUCCAUAGGCUAUUCCAGAUGCUAUCUAGUUAAACAUUUGUUAUCUACCUCGGACAAUUCCUCGCGUUGUUGUGAUGUAGGAUUCGGGACAUGACUUACUCCACAUAUAUUUUCAAGUCCGUAGAGUGUAGUGUCGUCCAAGAAUGAUGAAAAUUUCUACCUUUUAAACUAUGUGCCUCAUGGGUCAAGUGAGGAUUAGCUAAGUUACUUAUGUUUUGGAACAUUGCUGAUGAACACUAUUUAUCAAGUGAGGAUUAGCUAACUUGCUUGGGAUCAUGGUUUCAUGUUUUCAUAUCAUUGUAGUUUAUGUUUAUAUGUAAUUUAUGUUUAACUGAGAAAAAAGGUUUUACUGUGUUAUUUAAGAUAAUAUAACUCCUUGAUUAUGUUAUACAUAAUUAUUGCAUUCUAAUAAAGUUAUUAAGAUUUUAUUUAUAAUCAUUAGUAUUAUUGUUAUUAUGAAUAUACAAGAUGAUAUCAACUACAUAUAAUUAAUUAAUACAAUUAAAUAUAUUUGAAAUGUAAUUUAACAUAUUUAAAAUAUUACUGAGAUAUUCUUUGAUAAAGACAAAUAUAUAGAAAUUGUUUUUUUCCUUAAUUAACUGACAUUAAAAAUGUAAGUUACAAAAGUUGAUAUUAUAAUGUGUGAUAAUUUAAUAGAUAUCUCACCGAUAAAGUUAACAAAUCUGAACUAGUUGUUAAAUUUAACUUUUACUAAACUACUAUUAUUUUAUCAGUUCCCCAUUAGAGUACUAUCAUAAUACCAAAAUCAAUAACAAUAUAUAGCUUUAUAUGAUCAUAUGUUUAUAUGAUUCACUCUCCAAGAAGAGUUCGUAGGAACUCAAGUCGGGAUGUGACUUAGCAAGUAUUUGCGUCAACUUGUCGGUUAGCUUCUCCAAGUCUUCGUCAACUAAUUGGACCACAUAAACCCUAAACUCAAUUCAAUAUUCACGCUUCCUUCUUCCCUUAGUCUCAUGCAAACCUUUUAUCUUUACUGGAGAAUGUAAAUUUCAUAUUAUUGACAUGACAUUUAAUGAUGCGUCUGCCAGCUUAAAUCAUGGUAAAUAAUUAUAUAUUAUACACAUAACGGCAAUAACCAUUGCAUUAAUUCACGUAAUCUCAUAAGGGCAAUGACAUCGAUCGGGCAGAUUAAGGAUGGACAUACCCAUCCAGAACUGAUCUUCGGAUCAGGGUCCCAGACCCAAUUGGACCCGGUUUAAAUAUUCAAAGGGUUCUAAAUUGUUAUAUCCAAAAAUUGAUACCGUAUUCAACCCACACCAAAAACCGAAUGAACUGCAAACAUAUAAAUUAGUACAUAAAAAUAUUAGUUAUAAUCAUACGUAUAAUGAUACUACCUGAAAUCAUAAAUAUAUUAGUUAUUUAAAAUAUUUAUAGAUAAAAUUGGAUAGUUUAGAAACAAAUACCGAUAAUCAAAUUGUAUUCAUGGUAACUAAACAUCAAACUAAAUACAAAUUAAAGAUGUGAUGAUAAAUUUCUCAAGAAGUAAUGUUUUACAACAUAUUUUUUUAUUUCAUAGAUGAAGUAAAAUUCAGUCGUUUUCUUGAUUUUUGAACUUCAUGAAAAUGUGUUAAGGUAAAAAGAGAAUUAAACAGGAGAAGUCAUUUUUUCUCCAAAAUGCCGUAUGUACUGGCUCCAUCAGCGCCGUAUCAAAUCCCUCUCCUAUCUCUGCAUCUCUCUCUCCAUUGUUGUGUAUAUAUAUGUGAACGUUCAUAUCAUGGAUUGGCACCUCAAAACUCAAAGUAAUCAACUUCAAAAUGACUUCUCUUUUCUUCUUAGUUUUCCUUUUCUCAUCUCUUCUCACUCCAAAUGUUGAUGCCAGUCCAAUUUACAUAGAAGCUCUCUCCAAGUCAUUGCUCUUCUUCCACGGUCAGCGGUCCGGUCCCCUCCCAACAGACCAACAAUUCUCGUGGAGGGCUAGCUCCGGCCUUUCAGAUGGCUCCUCCGCCAAUGUACAUCCCAAAAAACACUAAACCUCUUAUAUAGCUUUGUUAUUAUAUAAGAAUGAAUAAACUUUUAUAUGAUCUGCAGGUGGACUUAGUUGGUGGGUACUACACCGAAGGAGACAACGUCAAACACAAUUUCCCAAUGGCGUUUACCACCACAAUGCUUUCAUGGAGCACGCUUGAGUACGGUGAGCAGAUGGGUACUGAGCUCCAAAAUGCUCUUGUUAACAUCCGUUGGGCCACGGAUUAUCUGCUGAAAUGUGCUACAGCCACUCCCGGGAAGCUUUACGUCGGGGUAGGAGAUCCUAAUGCUGAUCACAAAUGCUGGGAACGGCCUGAAGAUAUGGACACACCUCAUACAGUCUAUUCUGUAUCCCCUUCUAACCCCGGUUCUGACGUAGCAGCUGAAACUGCAGCAGCUCUGGCCGCAGCUUCUAUGGUUUUCAAGGAAGUUGAUUCUGCUUACUCGCUUUUGCUGCUGGCAACAGCUAAGAAUGUGAUGCAGUUUGCCAUUAAGUACAGAGGAAGUUAUAGUGAUUCCCUUUCUUCAUCUGUCUGUCCUUUCUACUGCUCCUACUCUGGUUACAAGGGCGGCUUUUCAUAUGUCCCAUCUCUUUAUUAUUGCAACUAAAAAAACUUUUACUGCUACAUAUAUAUAUAUCAAAAUGUAAAAAUUAUGAUGACACAGGACGAGCUAAUGUGGGGUGCGGCCUGGCUGCUGAAAGCAACCGAUGACUCGUAUUACAAAAACUUCAUACAAUCUUUAGGAGGUGGAGAUCAGCCUGACAUCUUCAACUGGGACAACAAAUAUGCUGGCGCUUAUGUUCUUCUUUCACAGGUAUGUCUCUCUGCUAAAAAGAAAGUUUUUUUUAAUUGAAGUUCCAAUCUCUCAUAAGUCCGAACUAAUCUUUUGUUAAUUCCUAAUAAUAUUCCGUACCAAAGGUGGUUUGAACCCGAUACACUUUUGUUGCUUAGCAUGUCACCAAUUCACAACAAUAAUAUUUCACUUUUUGGCAGCAAGCAUUAGUUAACAACGACAACACCUUUGAACAAUACAAGCUAGAAGCUGAGAGUUUCAUAUGCAAGAUCCUCCCAAACACUCCCUCUUCUUCUACCAGUUACACUCCAGGUAAGGAGAUCUAAAUCGUGAAUACGAAUCAUUCAAACUUUCUAAAACGUUAUUUACAACUACAACCAACAGGAGGCUUGAUGUACAACUACAAGUUACCUCAGAGCAACCUACAACACGUAACGGCCAUAACAUUCUUGCUCACAACCUACGCCAAGUACAUGAAAGCCACACAACACACGUUCAACUGCGGAAACUCUGUUAACAUUGUCCCCGAUACCUUGAUAAGCUUAUCGAAGCAACAAGUGGAUUAUAUACUCGGCGAGAAUCCGGCCAAGAUGUCGUAUAUGGUUGGAUACGGAACUAGUUUCCCCAUGAGAAUCCACCACAGAGGAUCAUCUAUUCCUUCACAACCACACUUCAGCUGCGC
rnacentral:lncRNA from 1 species